GCCCCCAUAGCUCAGGGGAUAGAGCACCGGCCUCCGGAGCCGGGUGCGCAGGUUCGAAUCCUGCCGGGGGCGCCA
rnacentral:tRNA from 1 species